UCCAUCCAAGCCUCCUUGGCCCUGGAAGCCGGCGUGUCCAUGUUGCCCACGUUCUGGACUGCCUGGAGGUGACAGCAGGAAGGACCAGGUUCUGCUAGGUUUAACUGACGCUGCUGCACUGGAUACCCCACCCCGGUGCCGGGCACAUAGGUGCAGCCUGAGAGUAAGCAGACCCGGGUUGGAAGGUCCCGCGAUUCACCACCGACAGGAUGGGCGGCCUUGGCAACCCCCGACCCCUCGCAGGCCUGUUCCCUUAUCCAUGAGAUGGAGCUCGGACAAGGUGGCCACAGGAAGGCUUUGCAAACUGUGAAGUGCAGUGCCUACGUGGGCGUGCCAGUGGCCUCGCCGGAGCCGGUAGGGAACACUCUGCAGUCCAGGCCAGGGCCCCGGUAGGACACCCAGCUGUGCAUCCCGCCCGUGGCCGCAAGGCCCGCACCUUAGCCAACAGGAGCAGGGUGCGGCUGGUGCGGGCGUCCGCGUGGCGCUCCCGCAGGUGGAAGAGCUUGGGCGACAUGAUGGCGGGGGAGAAGAAGCGCAGGCACAGGAAGCUGGUGACGGCGAUGAACGGUACAUUCUGGAGGGGUGCGGAAGAGCGCGGGCUGGAGUCCCCCAGACCAGGGCUCCUGGCAGCCCCCUCCCCUUAGGCUCUGUCCCUGACCCUCGCUGCGACACAGCCUCCCUGGUCCUCCCCAGCGCUCCCUGGUUCCCCACCGCUCUUCACUCCUCGCCCCAGCCCAGUCCAACCCGGCCCAGCCUAGCCCAGCGGGUGGAGGGCGCACCUCGUGCUGGGCGCCGGGGAAGCGCUCGCGCACGCGCCGGAAGAGCUGGCGGAAGGUGGCGCGCACCACGGCGGGGCACGCGCGAACCGAGCGGCUGAGCGCGCUCAGCAGGGCCCCCAGGUGGGCGCGCAGCGUCUGCGCGCUCUGCUCCAGCACCUCGGCCUCGGUCUGCGGGCGGUGCAGCCUGGAGCACCUGCGUGGAACGGGGCGGGUUGGCAGAGGAGGUCGCGGUCAGCGCCAGGGCCACGACAGGAACAGUGGCUCUCACAGCAGCCAGGACACGGACACAGGGGACAAUACACGGGUGGGCAGAAGCACAAACACACAUGCUGACAGGGCCUGAUCCCAACCCGCUGCCGCUGCACCCCGCAACCCCCGGAGUUACCCCCGGCCUCACCCUACAUCCUUAACUUCCACUUUGCUGGGGUCCAGCUCCACGUACUUCUUCUCCUCAAACACCUUGUUGAUGAUGGGGCCCAGGACGCCGUGCAGGUACUGCAUCCCGGCCACCUGGGGACCACCGCAGGUCACAUUGAUCCUGUCUCCCCCAGUCCCACUCCAGCUGCCCACCUUCUCCCGGCAGCCGCCCUUGCACCGUUUGCCUGCCGUAUCCGCCCAGGAGGGGGCCAGGUACACAUGCAGGGCAAACUGUUUAUUCAUGAAUGAAUGAAUGAGUGAGUGAAUGAAUGACUAGAAUUCUUAGCCCUUGUAAUCCUAGCACUUUGGGAGGCCAAGGCAGGAGGAUCACUUGAGGCCAGGAGUUUGAGACCAGCCUGGGCAACAUAGUGAGACUGUCUCUAACUUAAAUUUUAAUCACACACACAUUCUCUUUGGGGGGGGGUGCGGGGCACGGAGUCUAGCACGGGGCCCAGGCUAGAGUGCAGUGGCGUGAGCUCACUACAACCUCUGGCUCCUGGUUCAAGUGAGUCUCCUGCCUCAGCCUCCCCAGUAGCUGGGAUUACAGGUGCCCACCACCAUGCCAGGCUAAUUUUUGUAUUUUUAGUAGAGAUGGGGUUUCGCCAUGUUGGCCAGGCUGGUCUCGAACUCCUGACCUUAAGUGAUCCGCCCGCCUCAGCCUCCCAAAGUGCUGCAAUUACAGGCAUGAGCCACUAUGCCCAGCCACAUUCUUAACCUUAAAGGGCUCUGAAUAUGGAGAUAGAACACUGGAGUCGAAGUCCCAGCCCCCUCUGUCGCUCUCUCUGAAGCUCAGUGACUACUCCAGUAUUAAAUGAUGCAUGUAUAAAGUUAGUCACUCUAUCAUUAUCUGUAAUAGCAGAUGAUUGGAAAUGACCUAAAUGUCUCAUAAUAAGGAACUAGUUUUAAAAAGCAUGUUCCAUUCAUGCCUUGAAAUACUAUACAUUGAAAAAAUAAAAAUUGUAUAAAUAUGUGAAAAAAACAGUGUGUAUAUUAUACUACGACUUACUUCUUUGUGCAUAGAUGUUCUACAAGGCUAUAUAAAAGAUUGUUAAUUAUGGUUGUCUCUUGGGAGGGGGAGUUUAGAUUGUAUAAUGGGGUAGAAGGCUGACUUUUCGUUGUUUACUAUUCUGCACCUUCUGGAUUUUGUACUAUGUAUAUAUUUUAUAUAUUAAAAUAGCUUUAUAUAAAUAAAACUAGCCCCAUGGCUGAAUAAAUUUUAUUACAAUUUUCUUA